rnacentral:rRNA from 1 species
UUCCCUACGGGGGGCAGCAGUGGGGAAUAUUGCACAAUGGGGGAAACCCUGAUGCAGCGACGCCGCGUGAGCGAGGAAGUAUUUCGGUAUGUAAAGCUCUGUCAGCAGGGAAGAAGAAUGACGGUACCUGAAGAAGAAGCACCGGCUAAAUACGUGCCAGCAGCCGCGGUAAUACGUAUGGUGCAAGCGUUAUCCGGAUUUACUGGGUGUAAAGGGGGCGCAGACGGCAGCGCAAGCCAGGAGUGAAAGCCCGGGGCCCAACCCCGGGACUGCUCUUGGAACUGCGCGGCUGGAGUGCAGGAGGG